GUUCAUCCUGAUAAUAAGGGUAAGGAUAGAGCUAACACUUAACUGGGUGCUCAAUAUGUGCCAGGUGACCUAGGACUCAGAUCUGUAAGUUUCUCUGCCUAUUAUAAAGAUUGUCCUCCUGGUGCUGCUUUGAAGGAACAUUACUAUCACUAUUACUCUGAGGCUUAAGGAAUGCUUUAUUUGCAAGCUAAUGGUUUUGCUGAUUAAACCACAAACUACUGAUAAGUGAAAGUGGACCUGUGU